UACGUAGGGGGCAAGCGUUGUCCGGAUUUAUUGGGCGUAAAGAGCGUGUAGGCGGCCAUACAGGUCAGCUGUGAAAACUCGAGGCUCAACCUCGAGACGUCGGUUGAAACCGUUUGGCUAGAGUCCGGAAGAGGAGAGUGGAAUUCCCGGUGUAGCGGUGAAAUGCGCAGAUAUCGGGGAAGAACACCCGUGGCGAAGGCGGCUCUCUGGGACGGUACUGACGCUGAGACGCGAAAGCGUGGGGAGCGAACAGG
rnacentral:rRNA from 1 species